rnacentral:ribozyme from 1 species
ACUGUAUUAUCAUAAUAUUGUGUCUACGAUAGGUACCGGUACGAUUCCAAGCAAUACUCUCAAUCAUCAUCACAAGGCGUCGUCUGACCGAGUUUCAAAAAUCCUGGUGCCAUUGUGUUCAUUGAUUGAUUUUAAUUUUAAAAGUCAAUUCCCCCUCUCGACCCGACUCCUAUUUUUCACACUUUCACAGAAAUCGAAAUAUAUUAUAUUAUAAUAUAAUAUA